AUGGCCACGAGCGGUAUGGAGGAUGAGAGAGUGAGCGGGGAGGUCAGGGAGCAGGAAGACGACGACGACAACGUGCCUCAACUCAGCGCUGCGGCGACGGAGGUGCUCCGGGAGUUCCUGGUGGGACAGCAUCGUCCGGAGGAGCAGAAUGAAGCUAGAGGAGGGGAAGACGGGGUAGAGCUGGUCCCGGAGGACUGGCGAUUGAGCCAGUUCUGGUACGAUGAGCGUACCGCGCGGGAGCUCGUGGAGGAGGUCGUCCGCCUUGUCUCCCCUUCUGGAUCAGGCUCCACCGCUGGUGCCGUGGCCUGCAUCGCAUGCCCGACGCUCUACGCCUGCCUGAAGAAGACGGUCCCCGGAGUGCCCGCGCAGCUGCUGGAGUACGACGAGCGGUUCGGGCAGUACGGCGGUGACUUCAUCAAACACUUUUUAAUAGGCAAUCUCUGGUAG